GAAGCACCUGCAAUCACCAAGAAAGAGGAUUAGGUAUCAGAAAAAGAAAGAGGAGCGAUUAGGUCAUAAUAUGUACCUGAAAGGAUGAGAAUGAUGCAGAAUAUCAAACAGAUGCCGAGUAGUAUACCAUCCAUCCCCGGCUUGCUGAAGCAGCUGCAAAAUAUGUACAGCAACAUAUUUUGCACAAAGCCUGAUCAGCUCCUCAGCUAGUGGCAUUAGAAGGGCAGUGCCGGAGAAAUCUGCUAACUGAACAGGAUUGUACAGCAACAUACAUCUAAAAGAUAGCGUUAGAUAUUUUUCCAGUUGUCUUAAUCAUUGGUCAUAAAAAGAAGGAAGAGAAUAGAUAGUAGGCCAGGAAAGAGGAAUCUCUACAGGAGCAAAACCUUUGCUAUUGAAGUUAAAAAAAAGAACCAGAAAAUAUGAGUGAAAAAAUUGAAAAUAUGUGGCUACAAGGGAGUAGAUUCAAAACCUUUAAAAAUGUAAUAAACCCUAAUCCCAGCAUACAAUCCCCAAUCUUGAACAAACAAAAUAGAAGAUAUGAAAUUUGGGUUCUCACAACCUGAGCAACCAUCAAUGCAAGAUCCCCACCCCAAUCUUCCAAAGGUCUCAAAAUUGUAUUAACUGUGGGGGAGACAAAGAACAAAUAAUCUGAAGAAAUUAAUUAUAGUAAAGACAUUAGAAAAACCAUGAAAAAGCUGAAUCUUUGAACAGAAACAAAAAGGAAUUUCAAAGCAAAGAAGGGGAGAAAGAGGCUCAGAUUCACCACUUAAUCCAGCAUUGAGUUAGCAUUCAAGUCUCUGAAACUACAAGCCUAAGCGGCUGCAUAAGUUGCCUGUAGAAUGGUAGCAGCAGAACUUCCAAGAUUGCCUUAGCCAUUUCUACUUCGCAAUGCAGCAAGACCCUUGCCUAGGAAUCAUCACAGUCCUCUUCAUAUAAACCUAAAACAGGUGCCGCUUGCCCAAUCUGGGGAACAAAAAAUGAAGAAGAAAAGAAAAGAAAGAAAGAGAAAAAUAUGCUAAGGAGGAAGAAGAANNN
rnacentral:lncRNA from 1 species